AAAACAUUGACUUUUUUUUUAAUAAAACAAACAAAAGAGUGUGGAAUAAGAAAACAGAGCAUACUAUAUAUCCCAAAAGCAAUAUAUCCAAAAGUUUUCCUUGAGAAAAAAAAAAACCAGCUUGCUCAGGAAAGAGAAUACAGAUUGUUUUCUCUUUUUGGAGUCCACACCUUGUGACAACAAAAGACAACUCAAAUCAGCUUCAAGCAUGGAUCAUAACUAACCGCGG
rnacentral:lncRNA from 1 species